rnacentral:rRNA from 1 species
GGGAGCUUGCUCCUGGAUUCAGCGGCGGACGGGUGAGUAAUGCCUAGGAAUCUGCCUGGUAGUGGGGGAUAACGUCCGGAAACGGGCGCUAAUACCGCAUACGUCCUGAGGGAGAAAGUGGGGGAUCUUCGGACCUCACGCUAUCAGAUGAGCCUAGGUCGGAUUAGCUAGUUGGUGGGGUAAAGGCCUACCAAGGCGACGAUCCGUAACUGGUCUGAGAGGAUGAUCAGUCACACUGGAACUGAGACACGGUCCAGACUCCUACGGGAGGCAGCAGUGGGGAAUAUUGGACAAUGGGCGAAAGCCUGAUCCAGCCAUGCCGCGUGUGUGAAGAAGGUCUUCGGAUUGUAAAGCACUUUAAGUUGGGAGGAAGGGCAGUAAGUUAAUACCUUGCUGUUUUGACGUUACCAACAGAAUAAGCACCGGCUAACUUCGUGCCAGCAGCCGCGGUAAUACGAAGGGUGCAAGCGUUAAUCGGAAUUACUGGGCGUAAAGCGCGCGUAGGUGGUUCAGCAAGUUGGAUGUGAAAUCCCCGGGCUCAACCUGGGAACUGCAUCCAAAACUACUGAGCUAGAGUACGGUAGAGGGUGGUGGAAUUUCCUGUGUAGCGGUGAAAUGCGUAGAUAUAGGAAGGAACACCAGUGGCGAAGGCGACCACCUGGACUGAUACUGACACUGAGGUGCGAAAGCGUGGGGAGCAAACAGGAUUAGAUACCCUG